AGUAUUUGACCCCCCACUAGUAUGUGUUCUCUACUUUCUCAGUUUUCAUUCACCAAUUGUUCUCUAAUUCGUCAUCCUAAUUUAGAAUUACGUGACAUAGUUCCGCAGCAGUACAGAGGAUUUAGUGCAGCAAGACCGUCUUCACGUGGACUCCGUGUGGACGACUUAGGUGCGUCAUCAAUACAUACAUUCUAUUCCAGUACAAAUACAGAUCGAAAUUGACAAUAACACUUCUUGGUUCGAUAACAGCGUACAUAGGCCGCGGAGGGACCGAUGACGAGUCCGUAGAGGACGAGAUCCACAGGACGAGUUCCGCAUCGGUAGACUCCUUUUACAGCUACGACACUGAGGAGAUAGGUCCUUCGCAGUUGGGUGACGCGCCAGUGCCUCCGACAUAGGACUACACCUAGGAGUUUGUGACACCAGCUGCAGACGCACCAGGACGUUCGCCUCGCAAGGUUGCCCCUCCGGAG
rnacentral:lncRNA from 1 species